GCCUGGGUGGCUUAGUCAGUUAAGUGUCUGCCUUCAGCUCAGGUCAUGAUCCCAGGGUCUUGGGAUCAAAUCCCAAAUCGGGCU
rnacentral:tRNA from 1 species